CGGACGGGUGGAGUAACGACGUGGAAAACCGUAGCCGUAUACUGGGGGAGUAACACUUAGAAAUAGGUGCUAAUACCGCAUAAGCGCACAGCUUCGCAUGAAGCGGUGUGAAAACUACUGGUGGUAUACGAUGGUUCCGCGUCUGAUUAGCUAGUUGGUGGGGUAAUGGCCUACCAAGGCAACGAUCAGUAGCCGGCUUGAGAGGGUGAACGGCCACAUUGGGACUGAGACACGGCCCAAACUCCUACGGGAGGCAGCAG
rnacentral:rRNA from 1 species